rnacentral:rRNA from 1 species
AAAUUGAAGAGUUUGAUCAUGGCUCAGAUUGAACGCUGGCGGCAGGCCUAACACAUGCAAGUCGAACGGUAACAGAAAGCAGCUUGCUGCUUUGCUGACGAGUGGCGGACGGGUGAGUAAUGUCUGGGAAACUGCCC